AUCACACAUUGUGGAGAGUAUUGCCAGCCUACAACAUUGCAAACUACAGAUUGUACCAGUACUAAGAGGAGGAGAGGGCUUUAAGGUCAUGAAGUCAAAAAUGGAACAAGAUGGGGAGAUGCUAAGAAAUAACAAUUCUUAGGCCUGGGAAGGCAAUGAAGACAAACUUGGAUAGACUGGAAAGUUUGAAAUCGUUACCUGAAAACGUGCCCUCAGGGGCAACACUUCUUAUAACAAAAGCCCGAGUCAGAAGUUAUUAAAGAAGAGAGAGAAAAUUAGUGAUCACAUGAAUGACUGAAGAUUGAUCUUGUAAAUGAAGAAUAACAGAAGACUGACUCUUGCUUUCCUAGUGGAAUAGCGUCUGAAUGGCCUAGUUUGCAACUCCAGAAUGGGGCAUUCUCAGAGACUUCUGUAGAGCAGCAGGCUAAAAUCCUGUUUUAGCAAUUUCCAGAGUGCUUCCCACUUCCAAGUCAUGUUUGAGAGACAGACAAAUACAGCCUGAAUGCACAGGUGAGAAAAUUAUAUAGAGAUGUAUAAAUUGUGCGAAAUGAGAACAACAUAUGGAAUAGUGGGAAACUGCCAGAAAAGCAUGUGUUGCAUCCUACCAAUGUUGCACAUUAAUGCAUGUACUGUUACUCUCUUGCAACGACUGAAAUUAUUUUUCAUUCUCAAGGAACUGCUCUUUUUUUUUUUUUUUUUUUUUUU